GACGUAGGGGGCCAGCGUUGUCCGGAAUUAUUGGGCGUAAAGGGCUCGUAGGCGGUUUGUCGCGUCGGGAGUGAAAACCCAGGGCUUAACCCUGGGCUGGCUUUCGAUACGGGCAGACUAGAGGUAUGCAGGGGAGAACGGAAUUCCUGGUGUAGCGGUGAAAUGCGCAGAUAUCAGGAGGAACACCGGUGGCGAAGGCGGUUCUCUGGGCAUUACCUGACGCUGAGGAGCGAAAGUGUGGGGAGCGAACAGG
rnacentral:rRNA from 1 species